rnacentral:rRNA from 1 species
AUGUAUUCUCUUGAGAAACAUGACACCUUAAAAACUAUACACGGGACACUGUAUAUUGAACUCAACAACAAAAGUUUGGGUUCUAUUAAGUUGAAUAUCAUCAACCUAACUUGGAAACAUAAAAUUGUUACUGCCAGAGUUCGUACUUCCAUAUAUGUUGUGCCUCCUUUCAUCUUCUCUACAAUUGGGUACUCGAGAUUGAAGCUGAUUCUGCCUCCAACCUUUACUGGGACAAAAAAGACCAUUUCACUGUCGAGAAUUACAACAGUGCUCAGUUUCAUCAACUAUUCAUUUCUCAUAUUCAUUACUCUAGUAAUGGUUACUUUGCUCCUAAACUGGUAG